UGGGGAAUUUUGGACAAUGGGCGAAAGCCUGAUCCAGCAAUGCCGCGUGUGUGAAGAAGGCCUUCGGGUUGUAAAGCACUUUUGUCCAGAAAGAAAUCCUUGGCUCUAAUACAGUCGGGGGAUGACGGUACCGGAAGAAUAAGCACCGGCUAACUACGUGCCAGCAGCCGCGGUAAUACGUAGGGUGCAAGCGUUAAUCGGAAUUACUGGGCGUAAAGCGUGCGCAGGCGGUUUGCUAAGACCGAUGUGAAAUCCCCGGGCUCAACCUGGGAACUGCAUUGGUGACUGGCAGGCUAGAGUAUGGCAGAGGGGGGUAGAAUUCCACGUGUAGCAGGUGAAAUGCGUAGAGAUGUGGAGGAAUACCGAUGGCGAAGGCAGCCCCCUGGGCCAAUACUGAGCGCUCAUGCACGAAAGCGUGGGGAGCAAACAGGAUUAGAUACCCUGGUAGUCCACGCCCUAAACGAUGUCAACUAGUUGUUGGGGAUUCAUUUCCUUAGUAACGUAGCUAACGCGUGAAGUUGACCGCCUGGGGAGUACGGUCGCAAGAUUAAAA
rnacentral:rRNA from 1 species